rnacentral:rRNA from 1 species
UACGUAGGGUGCGAGCGUUAAUCGGAAUUACUGGGCGUAAAGUGUGCGCAGGUGGCCGCGCAAGUCGAGUGUGAAAUCCCCGAGCUUAACUUGGGAAUUGCGCUCGAAACUACGUGGCUCGAGUGUGGCAGAGGAAGGUGGAAUUCCACGUGUAGCGGUGAAAUGCGUAGAGAUGUGGAGGAACACCGAUGGCGAAGGCGGGUUGCUGGGCUGACACUGACGCUGAGGCGCGAAAGCUAGGGGAGCGAACGGG